rnacentral:rRNA from 1 species
UACGUAGGGUGCAAGCGUUGUCCGGAAUUAUUGGGCGUAAAGAGCUCGUAGGCGGUCUGUCGCGUCGAAUGUGAAAACCCGGGGCUCAACCCCGGGCCUGCAUUCGAUACGGGCAGACUAGAGUUCGGUAGGGGAGUCUGGAACUCCUGGUGUAGCGGUGAAAUGCGCAGAUAUCAGGAGGAACACCGGUGGCGAAGGCGGGACUCUGGGCCGAUACUGACGCUGAGGAGCGAAAGCGUGGGGAGCAAACAGG